UGAGCUACAGCCAGGGACACCAUGCAGUGACCAUGAACACCGUGCUACAGCCAGGGACACCAUGCAAUGACCAUGAACACCGUGCUACAGCCAAGGACACCAUGCAAUAACCACGAACACCGUGCUACAUCCAGGGACACCAUGCAAUGACCAUGAACACCAUGCUACAGCCAGGGACACCACAAAAUGCUCCUGAGCAUCAUGCUACAGCUAGGGAUGCUGUGCAAUGACCACGGGCGCCAUGAUGCAAUCAGGGACACCAUGCAAUGACCACAAACACCAUGCUACAGUCAAAGGUACCAUGCAACAACUGUAAGCAUGAUGUUAGAGCCAGGGACAUCAUGCAAUGACCACGAGCACUGUGCAAUGACUGUGAACACCAUGCUGUUGCCAGGAAUGCCAUGCAGUGGCCACGGGAACCACACUGCAGCCAUGGGCACUGUGCCACAGUCACAGUGAAAACACUACAAUCAGGGUGAUUGUGCUGCAGCUUGGGACAUCAUGCUGCAGCCAUCAUCACUGAGCAAUAGCUAUGCACAGCGCUACAGCUGAGGAACAUGUGCUACUCCAUGCCACAGCUGCAGUCACUGUGCUGUGGCUGAGGUCACCUAGCUGAUCAUGGCCAGCCUGCUGCAGCAACCACACUGCAGCCGGGACACCUUGCUACAGCUAUGGUCACCAUGCAGUGGCAAGGUCUAUAGCCGGGGCAACCCAUGCUGCUGGAGCAGAGGUGCCGUGACCCCGAGCACAAAUGGAGACAGAUCAUCACAUGGACCUGGGGCAAGAGGUAGGAACAAAGACUGAUGGAGAUGCAGCUCCCACUUUGCUUGAGCGGGAAGGGAGAAAAUCAGAGCUGCGGGACAGGAAGAGGCCAAGACCCACCCCUUCCCCAGGGAAAAGACAAGGAGAAAAAGGACAGGAAGCUUGCAGAGGAAAACCCUCAAUUAUUACAAAGGGAGUUUCCCCCCACAGCUCCAGAACCUGCUCCUUAGCUUUCGUAGCACCGUGACGAUGAUCCCGGUUCCAUAGAUACCGAUACCAUGACAACUCUGACAUCAUCUCUGCUUCGGACAGGAACUGCAGGGAAGGCGCAGGGAGCAGUACGCAUGCACGGCUGGCACCGAGCAGGCCUGCAGGCAAGGCUGGGGGCUGCAGGGGCUCCAUCACCACCUCCCCCAGACCCGUGCAGCUCUGGGACCUGCGCUGCCGCUGCUGGAUCACAUGGGGAUGUCCCAUGGAGCUGGCCAGGGCUUUCACCCCAGCACCGAUAGCAUCACCUGAACUGCAGGUUAAGAACAAAGAACAUAUUUAUUUAAAGGAUUAUCACAGGACCUCUGCUGAAGGCUGGCCACAGCUGAAGUCAAUUGCCUGUAACUUGUGCAAUUAGAGAAGAGGUAUUGCACAUAGCCACUGGUUUGACAAGUAACUGAAGUCACCAAAAUCUCCACCCAUGACCCACAAAAGGGACUGGAGCAGCUUGCUAUUCUAAAGAAGUGCAAGAAAGAAAUGGGAAAGUCAACUAAAUACACACUUUGUUGCCCUCUACUGUUUACAUGGUUAAUGUGCAAAGCAAGUUUUCCCUGUAGUUAACACAGACUUGAGAUGAACACUGCAGUAACAGACAAGAGAGGCCAAGAAGCAUGAUGAUAUGCAAUAUUUGGGAGAGAAAAAUCUAGGGCUAGGAAGAGACUUCUGCAUAAGGAGUACUCUAAAGAAAAAACAGCCUGCUCAAGGACAAAGCAUAGAAACAGAGGGUACCUUUCAGCAGCAAGCAAUGAAGCAAUGUCACAGCAGACAGGAGCAGAACUCAGCAAGCCUGAAUGCCAGAGACAUUGCCUAGACAGUGCUGGAUGCUGUGACCCCAGGCAAACAUCAGUGCAGCUUUCAGGGCUGGAUUAGCCUUCACUAGCCCUGACUGUGAAUUCACUGUGCAUUGCUGCAAAUACCUGAACUGGCAAGGAAGUACCUACGGUGCUCACAUACACUUCCUCCCAAGAUAUGCCAACCCGUGCCAGUGCUCCAGCUGACCCCAGUGCUGACACUGGGGGGGGGGGAGGGAAGCAAACCCCCUGCCCUCUCCAAGCCUGUAAAACUUCAACAGGAAGCAAUAACACCCACAACCUGUAGCAGGCUGCAGAAACCUGCAGGCAAAGCCACUCCAGAAAAUCUUACUGUAAGUAUGAGACUGUAUACACCCAACACACUGCAAAGGAACAGCUAAUCCCUGGAAAAAUGUUAAAGGCAUAGUGCUGCUUACGUCAACAUCUGUGCUUGCCACUCGCUCAAGCAAAUCUGCUUCCCAUUCAUGAAGACAAUCCCCUCGUGGCUCCCUGCUCUUUGCUUUUCGGGGAAAAAGAAAUCAGUUAUAAGUGGAAACCAGUCCAUGAAAACAUUAAGUCUUAAGUAAGUGAAGCUGAAAGAUUACCUAGGUGCCAAUUACAUAGCAGCUGUGACCGAGCAUGGUCUCACAACCUCCUUAAGCAUCACCUGCUCCUGACUGCGCUUUUCUUGCAAGGAUUUCUCGGAUCGAUACGAAGCAGCUUCCCCUCUCCGGCUCUGCACGGAGUGCUAUGGAGUGAAUUUGCAGCUAAAGACUUCGCCCUCCAGUGGAUGACACCCUUAACUGCCAUCUCACUCAAAUGCACCAAGAUUUAAGCUACUACGACUGUACUGCUACCUCCGUUGCUGGUAGAAGCAUAUCACAAAAAGCAUCCUAGCAGUCCCCAGAUUAAACUAACAGGCAAGGAUCUGGUCUACAAAACCACUGCUGCUUUUUGCAGCUUCGUGGUUUGAAGAGAAUUGCCUCAACUCAGAAGCACAACAGAAAAGGAUUGGUUGCAGCCCCACCUCGAGUAAUCAGUACACACAGGAUCACAAUUCAGCAGAGCAGUCAAGCUCAGACAAGCCACAGGCACGCAGAUGGUUAGACAUACCACGGCACCGGGAUACCUCUUCCUAGGACUUCAUGCAGCAGGGAAGUUAGGAAUAAACUCAGUUGCUUUUAUUGUUUUCACAUUGACAGAAAAUAUAAUUUGAAUACAAUUAUUUUUAAAACUAGA